rnacentral:lncRNA from 1 species
AAAACCAACAAAAAAACAUUAGCUUAUACAAUAGACGUAUAAAUUAAGUUAUAAAUUAUGUUCAAACAUAAGAAUACGAUAAUAUUCUUACCUAAAUCAGAGUCUAUAAUUCCCUCAUCAAUAAGCACAGGGAUGUUGUACAGCAAGGUGAAAAAAGUUGCUGAUGCAGGACACAACACAGCUCCUUUGAUUCCCAGUUUAGUCCCAACAUCCAAAGCCCAAGCCAUGCACAAAUCAGCAACAAUGAAGUUGAUUCUGUUCUCACCUUUCAAAUGAAUAUCCUCUAUGAGCUUCUCAAGUGCUUCUGGCAUGGUGUUUGGAAUGGCAUCACACAUCUUGGCCAGAUCGUUUCUGUCAUCAUCAGGUCCUAAACCAUCAGAGAUUGAAACCAACUUCAGCACUGAUUCUUCAUCAUCAAGGGUAGAACUAUCUUGUUGCUCCACCAUGGAACUCACCACUCUCCUGUGGAUAAAGUCUGUGUUCACAAAAAUGACUUUGCAUCCAUUCUGAACCAACUUCUGCGAGAAGGUCAUCAUGGGAUUCACAUGCCCUUGUGCUGGAUAUGGUAAAGCUAGCACAGUUGGAGUUCUCAUGUUAACACUCUUUUUAUUUGGUUUCUAUUGAUUCUGAUUUUCUGAGACCAAUUAGCAUGCAUCUAUUCAUCUAUAUAUAGGCACAGCCCCUCACUAUAUCAUAAUCGUGUAUAUACGUACCAAUUACAAUCUAGGUCACGAUCAGUCAAAAUCUUCGGCUAUCAUAAAUUUCAUGUAAGAAGAAAUGUAGAAAGUUUGUGUGUUCACAACAAUAAUUUUGUCAUUCUAUACCUCUUUACAUUUCCUUGUACUUCUCUGAUUCGACUUUAGUGUUUUUAUCAUUAAACUUUUGUUUUUUAGUUUAUUAAUUGAUUUAGCAUUAUGGUGUUAUUUAAUUACGAGAAUCAUGUAAUUAGUGUAAGAAAUUAGACGUGAAGGGUAGGGAAAAAACGGAUGGUGGGUCUUUGAUCUGGGAUGUGGUGGAAGGGGGUCACUAUGAGAUUAUGUGUGCAGAGAGUAGGAUGAGGCAGUGCAGAAUUGUGUAGGUGCUGGUCUAGAUUUGCUCUGUCAUGCAUUGCAUAUUUGUUGCUUUAGUUUUAUCAAUCUAUGUCUUAGCCAAAGGCUAGGAGCUGUUUGGAUAGGAAUGUCUUCUUAACAGCAAAACAGCAAAACUAAUUUGUCCUGCAUAAUUUUGCAUACUAGAUAGGAACUUUGGGAAUGGUUUUGCUAGAUCUAAUUUUUAUAUAAGGGUUCAAACAUUCCUAAAAUAUCCCUUCUAAUUUUAUUUACUUUUUGCUUAUAAAAAAAUUGUAAAAAAUAUUUCUUUUAAUUUAGAUGAAUUUGAAAGGAAAGGUUAAUAAAUGAAAAUUUUCAAAUAAUAAAAAGAUUGGUAGAAGGAUAGUUGAGAAGUGCAACAGAUUGCCUCUAACUUUGAAAACAAUUGGAUGUCUUUUACGCACAAAGUCAUCCAUUUCAGAUUGAAAAAACAUAUUGGAAAGUGACAUAUGGGAGCUACUAAAAGAGCACAAUGAAAUAAUCUCUUUGCUAUUUCUAAGCUAUUGCCACCUUCCUUCUCAGGGUAUUUGAUCAUGAUGGGGUUAUUUUUUUUUGUUUUUACCAAAAUGGAGUCCGUUUAAAAAAAAUUACAAAUUUAGGCAAGUCGUGCCAAUUUGGCACGACUUCAUAUGGACAAAUCGUUCCAAUUUGACACGACUCUGCCAUGUCAUACUAAAAUCGUGCCAACUUGGCACGACUUCUGCCCUGUCAUACCGAAGUCGUGCCAACUUGACACAAAUCUGCCACAUCUUAAUUUUUAAUUUUUUUUAAAAAUUUUAUUGUUUAUAUAUUGGAUAGUAAGUUAUGUAAUGCUAAAAAUUAAUUUGAUACAUAAUUUUUUAAGAGGGUUAGUUUCAAGGAACAAAAAAUUGGAUAUAUAUAAUUAUUUUUAAAUUAUUUAAUUAUUUCAAAAUAAUUACAAAUUAUUUAUAUUAUUUGUUUUAUUUAAAAUUUAUAUAAUUAUUUCAAAAUAAUUACCGUACUUAUACCUUUUUAUAUUUUAAUAUAAAUGACAUUAAAAAAAAUAAACAGGUCAAAAAAUGUAUUAUUUGAAUUGUGAUAAAAAAAAUUAUUACUUUAGAAAAAAAUAAAUAAUUGUAAUACACGAUUAUCCAAUUUUUUGUUCCUUAAAACUAACACUCUUAGAAAAUUAUGUAUCAAAUUAAUUUUUUACAUUACAUAACUUACAACCCAAUAUAUAAACAAUAAUAUUUAAAAUAAAAAUAAAAAUUAUGACAUAACAUAAGUCGUGGCAAGUUGGCAUGACUUCAGUAUGACAGAGGCACGACUUGCCUAAAUUUGUAAUUUUUUUUAAACGGACACCAUUUUGGUAAAAACAAAAAAAAAAUAACCCCAUCAUGGUCAAAAACCCUCAUUCUCAUCUUAAAAGGUGCUUUGCUUAUUGUGUCUUAUUUUCCAAAGAUUAUGAGUUUGUGAAGGAGAAGUUAAUAAUUUUCUUGUGAGUCCACAACAUAUUAGACGUCAAGAAGAAGUUGGUGAACAUUACUUGAAUGAUCUAUUGUCAAGGUCUUUCUUUCAACAAUUAGGGGUCAAAAAGUGUUUUGAACAAUCAUGUCUUAGGAGGUGUUUCGUCAUGCAUGACCUUUUCAAUCAUUUGACAAAUUCAAUAAUUUGACAAAAUAUGUCUGUGUGGAUUUUUGUUCCAGAUUGAAAUUUGAUAAAGGUUUUAAUGGUUUUGGGAGUUUAAGUGAAACUAAAAGCUUCGUUAAUUACGUGUUUAAUAUGUGAAGCUUCUGUCUUGUUCUAAGACAUCUUUGUAGUACUUUUUUCUUCCUGCCCUUACAAGCCAGUGGAUGUAUGUAUCAUAAACUAAUAACUAAUUCCAACUAACUAUAUAAAGAUAACCUUUGCAACACUUAUACCAAAUCAAGUCCCUAUAAAUUUAACCAAAUUCUCUGUUUUUUUAAUUUGGUUCUCUUGAAUGUUUAUUCAGAAAUGUUGUCCCAAUACUGGAUUAUGCUAAAUCAUGGAGAAAUUGAAUUAUUCAUAAUAAACCAUGUCAUUAUGUAACAUGCUUGUCUCAAGUCUUAAUGUGAAAUGCUUUUAAGCUGAAAUCUAAUAUGGUAUAAGAUUCUAUAGCUCAUUUGUGUUUAAUUACAAUAAACUGAGACAAUUUGGGCAUUGAAAUUGUCUUAAAACAGGGUCCAAUGUGCAAGGCCAUACAUCCAUCCAUUUUAUUUUCCUUAAUGUUCAGAACUUUAGACUACUAAAUAUUUUAUUUUUCCUUUUUCUCAUACUUUUGACCCUUCAUGUAUCAUAAUCCAGCAUUCUAUACUUAUAUAAACCAAGAAAAAUGAACUUUUCUAUUUGGACUGAGGAGUGGAUUUGUGAGGAUUAGAGAGUAUGUGUGAGAGGAUAUGUGAGGUUGUUUGGAUUGAGGGAUGAUAGAGUGGAUUUGUGAGGAUGAUUUAUUGUAAGUUUACAAAUUUACCCUUGUUAUUAAAAAAUAUUUAAAUAAUGAAUUAUGAUUUUUUUUAGGUUUGAAUUAAUUAAAUAUUUUUAACAUAUAAUAUCUAUAAUUGUUUAUAUUUUUUAAUAAAAGAUUAAAUAUUUUUUUGUGUUAAAUUGAAAUAAAUUUAUUAAAUACAUUAAAAUUUAUGAAAAUAAUAUUUAUUAUUAUAUUCAUUUGUUACUUUAUAUAACUAUAUAUGGUUGAUAUUAUAAAUUUUUUUGUAUUUUUUAUUUUAUUAUUUAUAAUUAUAUGUUGUUAUUAAUAGUAUAAUUAAAUAUUUUUGAAAUUAUAAAUAAUAAAUAAAUUUAUAUAAUAUUUAAUUUUGUAUAUUGUAAAUAAAAUGGAUGGACAAGAAUAUUUUGGUAAAAUACAAUAAUCCUACAUUAAUCGCCACAAAUCUCUUCAUCAGCAGGGAGAAGGUUUGUCUUCUUUGGGGGACUAACGAAGUAGAUUGGGUCGAAAACAAAGCUACAAACAACGCAGGGGGGUUCUUACGAUGUGGAGUAAUAAGUCGUUUCAGAUGUUUAGUUUUGUAAACGGAAGGAACUAUACUGUGAUUGAAGGUUUUUGGAAGGUUAUUAAUGAGGUUUUUGUAACUAUAGUGAAUGUAUAUUGUUGUGGCUCUUUACGGGAAAAGAAAGAGAUGUGGAAAAAGAUCAAUGGAGUCAGGUUGAAUCAACUAUCAAAGGCGUGGUGUAUUAUUGGAGAUUUUAAUUCUAUUAGACGUAAAAGAAGAGAGGAAGAGUUUGAUUUCGACGUCAGAUUAUUCUAGAGAAAUAAAAGGGUUUAAUGAUUUUAUCAAAAAAUCAGAAUUGGUUGAUAUCCCAUUGGUUGGAAGGAAGUUUACUUCGUAUAAACCCAAUGGUUUGGUGAAGAGCAGAAUCGACAGGGUUCUAGUUUCAAAGGAGUGGCUGGAAUCUUGGCCUCACUGCCAACAAUUCGUUUUAAACAAAUCAAUCUCUGACCAUUGUGCGGUUAUACUUAAAGAGGUGUCAGUGGACUGGGGCCCGAAACCUUUUAGGUGUUUGGAUGUUUGGCAAAAAGAUAGCAGAUUUAAAGAGUUUGUGAGUUCGAGUUGGUCUUCUUAUAGGUUAUAGGAGGUGGGAUUUUUAUUUUCAAAGAAAAAUUGAAAAAACUAAAAGCAUAUUUAAAAGUAUGGAACAAAGAAGUCUUUGGAGGUGUAAAUCUUGCCAGUAAGGAAGUGCAAAAGAAGAUCGAUGAAUUAGAUGUACGAGACAAUGAUGGUGGUUUAGUUGAGUCAGAAAGGGAAGAAAGAAAGUUCCUCUUUGCAAAACUUAAUAAAUUCAAAUUUAAGCAAGAGGCUAUUAUGUUUCAGAAAGCAAGACAAAAGUAGUUAAAACAGGGGGAUCUUAAUACAAAGUUUUUUCACUCUGUAAACUGGAGAAGGGCAAGGAAUCAGUUGCAUGGGGUUUUCGUUAACGGUAAAUGGUGUGAAGAUAAGGAGGUGAUCAAGGACAAGGUUCGUGUUUCCUUUGAAGAUAGGUUUGCCAUGAACGAUGCUUGUCAAGUUAGAUUGGACAAUGUCAGGUUCAGUUCCAUUUCGGAGUCCGAUAAUGAGUUGUUGAUUGGAGAUUUUCUGAAGAUGAGGUUAGGGCUGUAGUUUGGAGUUGUGACAGUUCAAAGAGCCCUGGCUCUGAUGGUUUCAAUGAAAUUUUGCUGGGAUAUCAUUAAAAAGGAUGUGGUGUCGGCAGUGAAGAAUUUUGCGGUUAAUGGUCAUUGACCCAGAGAUUCAAACGCUUUGUUUCUUUGUUUAAUACCAAAAGUAGAAAAUCCUCAGCAGCUCGGUGAGUUUAGACCUAUUUCAUUAGUUGGGUGCUUGUAUAAAAUCAUAUCUAAAGUGCUAUCUCUACGAUUGAAAAAGGUAACUAGUAAAGUUAUUGACGUUAGAUAGUCGACUUUCCUUGAAGGAAGGGGUUUUUCUGGACAGUGUGUUAGUCGCCAAUGAGGUUUUGGAAGAAUAUAAAAGAAAGAGGAAGAGUUGUGUUUUCUUCAAAGUUGACAAUGAGAAGGCGUAUGACUCGGUCAGUUGGGAGUUUAUUUAUUAUAUGCUAAGGAGGUUGGGUUUCUGUGAUCUUUGGAUCUAUUGGAUAAAGGGUUGUUUAGAAUCAGCCUCGGUUUCAGUUCUAGUUAACGGUAGUCCACCUAGGGAGUUCUUUCCUAGGAAGGGACUUCGUUAAGGUCAUCCGCUAGCACCGUUUCUCUUCCUUAUUGUGGCAAAAGGGUUGGCUGGGGUAUCAAGGGUGGCUGAAGAAAAGAUUUGAUUGACAGUUUGGAGGUUGGCAAGGAUAAAGUGAAGGUAAAUAUGUUACAAUAUGCAAAUGAUAUUUUGUUCUUCUGUGAAGCUAACACCAAAAGCGUUUUCAAUAUUAAGGCGAUUUUGCAAUGCUUCGAGCUUUCUUCUGGGCUUAGGGUGAAUUUUUUGAAAAGUAGAAUUGGUGGGACGGGGCUGGAUCAGCUUUCGCUUCAGCGUUUGGCAGCUAUUCUCAACUGCGACGUGAUGGUUUCUCCUUUUGUUUACUUGGGAUUGCCAGUUGGAGGGAAUCACAAGCGUGGUGCCUUUUGGAAUGGGGUGAUAGAGAAAGUUCAGGCUAGGUUGAGCAGGUGGAAAGGGAGGUGCCUUUCGAUGGCUGGGAGGAUCUGUUUGUCAAGUCAGUUCUUUCCUCUAUCCCGUUAUUUUUUAUGUCCUUAUUCAAAUUGCCUUUAGGGGUGGCAAAUAAAUUAGUUAGGAUUCAAAGGAAUUUUCUCUGGGGGUGGGGAUCUGAAGGAAGGAAGAUCGUUUGGGCUUCUUGGCAAAAGGUAUGUAAGCCUCGCGAUUUUUGGGGGGGCUUGGUAUUAUUGAUUUAAAAAAUUUUAACUUGGCUUUGUUAGGAAAAUGGAUUUGGAGGUUGGGUACGGAUAAGGGUGGUCAUUGGAAGGAGAUUCUGGUUUCAAAAUAUGGUGGUUGGAAGUGCUUGAGAAAGGAAGGAAAAAGUCGUAGAAGCUCUCUUUGGUGGAAAGAUUUGAAAGAGGUGUGAGCCUCAGAGGGUUGGGGAAGAAGUUUUGAAGAUGGGUUCAACUGGAAAGUUGGUGAUGGAAAGGAUAUUUCCUUCUGGGAGGAUAAUUGGUUGGGUUGCGAUGCGUUGAAGAGAGCCUUUCCGAGACUGUUCUCUUUGUGUUUGGCCAAAGAGACAAAGGUGGCAGAGCUUGGAUCUUGGUCUAAUUGUGUUUGAGUUUGACAUUUAGUCCGGCGAAGACCUUUUUUCGAAUGGGAGAAGCCUUUGGUGGAUCAAUUUUGGCAGGUAUUGCAAGGUGUUAGGUUGAUUUUGGGAGAGGCGGAUAGUUGUGUUUGGAAGGUCGGGGAUCUUCAGAAGUUUUCAGUUAACUCUGCUUAUAUGCAUGUUAGGAGGGAUAGUGAGGUGGAAGGUUCUCCGGUAUUCAAUAAGUUGUGGAGAUGUAAAGCCGUACCUUUUGCUUUAUUUACUGUUUGGAGGGUUCUGGAGAAUAAGACUGCUACUAGGGUCAAUCUGGAAAGGCGAGGGGUGAUGGUUGAAAAUGCUUUGUGUUGUCUGUGUGGGAAGGAGGAAGAGUCUUCCGCCAUUUGUUUUUUAUUGCAAUUUUACUUGGCGUGUUUGGUGUUUUUGCUAUAAGUGGCUUGGAGUUUCGUUUGUGUCUCACAUUGAUCCUAAGUCCAACUUUGCUCAUUUCUGGAUGAGUCAGUCUUCAAACUCGGUUAACAUUGUGUGGAGUACAAUUUGGGUGGGGGUUGUGAGUGAAAUCUGGAAUCACAGGAACCUUAUCAUUUUCAAAAGGGGUGUGACUGAUGUGUCAGAAAUGCUUGCAAUGGUGCAAGUAAAGGUUUGGUCUUGGAUUUCCACAAAAUCUCGUUCUGCUUCGUUUUCCUAUUCUGAUUGGUGUUUAGAACCUUCGGCAUGCAUGAUGAUUGUUCCUUGAAGUUUUUACGUGUUAGUUUGGUUAGUGCUUUCAUCAGUUAGGUAGGCGGUUCUAGUUAAAAGUUGGUUCUCAUUUAUUUAUUGUUUAUUGCUGAUAAAAAUAAAAUAAAAUAAAAAGAACCAUCCACCCUCUCUCCAUCCACUCUCCCACCCUCAAAAUCUUUGAAACAAACAAAAAAAAAAUAUUCCCUCCCUCCUGAAAACAAACAUGUGGACCACCAUGAAUUAAGUUUCUUUUGACUCUUUCUCCUCCACUGUCAGAAUCAUGUGGUGGAUCAGAAGUUGAGAUUGAAAUUGUUUAACAAUCAUCUUUUCGAAUUUUUAAUCCUUUUCUUAUCUUAGUCUGCCUUGUGUAUUUGUAUGUGUAUUAUUUGUGUGGUUAUUGGAAACUUUCUUGUGUCUUUUUAUAGUUAUAACACAUUCUUUUAGUUUAUCUAUUUAAUUGUUUAUAUAAAAAAAUGUCAGUUUAUUAUCAUGUAACUUGAACUAUAUUCAGGAUCAGUUCGAAAAAUAUACAAGUUUAUUUCUUACCUAUUAUAGAAUAAGAAAUGACCCAUUUUUACAUUUCAAAAAUAUUUUAUGAAAUUGAAAUAAAUAUGAUUAAUAAAGAAAAUUUAUAAUAAAAUGAUAAAAAUAUCUAUUUUUAUCAUAAUUUCUACCAUGACCGUCUAUUUUAUUUAAUAAUAUGGUGAAAUCAACAAAGAAUAACAUAAUGAAUUGGGUAUUGCACAUACACAUUCAUUGCCAAUUGUAACUGCAUGGGUUAUCGAAAUGAUUGCAUCCAUUAUUGAGGGACUAUCAUCAUAUAUAAUACAAGUUUUUUUUGUAAUUAAUAUCAAGUUAGUUUGGACUGGGAAUAAAGUUGUUUAACUUUUUUUGAUUUAUUUGUUUUUGACGGUUUUAAAAAAGACAAUACCAAAUUAUGUAAGGUUUACUUUUUUGCUAUGGCUAUUAUGAACUGUUUUUUUGAGAGUUCUGAUGUAACAUUCUUUUACUGAUGUAAUUUUAGAGGACUAUUUAAAAUAGUUUUUUUUUAUAGAUUGGAAUAUGCCUUAAACAUUCCUAUUUGUUUAAUUUAUUUCUGAUAAAAAAACGGUAAAAUAAAACACUAAUCCAAAACUAUAAUUAACCUAAGCACAAAUCUGAACUCUUAUUCCUUUAUCUCCUUCACAAAGCUCUUAAAGUUCUCAUAAGAUGUUCCUCCUUUUGCUAUGUUCUUCAUCACUUUCUCCUUCAACACCACACACCUACAUUUUAUGUUCUCAUCAUUAAAUAAUUGUUCCACUUUGGUUUUCAACUCUCCACGUGAAACAAUCCCAUUUUGAUCCUUGUCAAUCCCCAACCCAACCUUUAACUCAUCACAAAUAUGUGCUUUGUUGUAAAGUUGCUCUCCAAAGUAUGGCCAACACAAGAAAGGUACUCCAUUGGACAAACUUUCCAUGGUAGAAUUCCAACCACAAUGAGUGAGAAAACAUGCUAUGGCAGGGUGACUUAAAACCUUUUGUUGAGGAGCCCAAUUCACUAUCUUACCCUUAUGCCCUUGGAAUUCAUGAGGGUAUGCCAUUUUAUUGUCUUCUCUUAUAACCCAAAGAAAAGGUCUAUUGGUGAGGUCUAGUCCAAGGGCAAGUUCAUUGAAUUGGUUUUGGUCAAAAAGAGUGAAACUACCAAAGGCAGCAUACAACACAGAACCAUCAGCUUGUUCAUCUAGCCAACUCAUGCAAGAGUGGUCUUCUUUCCAGAAUUGUCCCAUUGGUUUUGUAAUUGCACUUUUGUUGCCAUCAUUACCAUUGCUUCUCAACACUGGCCCAAUUGGGAUGAUCUUGGGAAGAAAUAAUAAUGUCCCAGGUUCAAGUUCAUGUGAGGUGUUGCAAAGCCACCACUGUGUCAAAUGUAAACUUCGUGUGCAAUGCAGCAGAUACUGAAGCAUUUUCUUACCAGUUAGGCCACCCAUAUUCAACCAAAAAAAGUCUUCUGUAUCCAUCUCAGGCAUACUUGGCGAAAUCUGAAUUCUCUUUUUCGUGGUUAAUGUUAAAUCUUCAGUGAAAAACCAACAAAAGAAUAUAUUAGUUUAUACAACGUAUAAAUUAAAUUAUAAAUUAUGUUCAAACUUAACUAUACAUAAUAUUCUCACCUAAAUCAGAGACUAUAAUUCCCUCAUCAAUAAGCACAGGGAUGUUGUACAGCAAGGUGAAAAAAGUUGCUGAUGCAGGACACAACACAGCUCCUUUGAUUCCCAAUUUACUCCCAACAUCCAAAGCCCAAGCCAUGCACAAAUCAACAACAAUGAAGUUGAUUCUGUUCUCACCUUUCAAAUGAAUAUCCUCUAUGAGCUUCUCAAGUGCUUCUGGCAUGGUGUUUGGAAUGGCAUCACACAUCUUGGCCAGAUCGUUUCUGUCAUCAUCAG